UACGGGGGGGGCAAGCGUUGUUCGGAAUUACUGGGCGUAAGGGUUUGUAGGUGGCUUGUUAAGUCAGACGUGAAAUCCCUCAGCUUAACUGGGGAACUGCGUCUGAUACUGGCGAGCUUGAGUGCAGGAGAGGAACGCGGAAUUCCAGGUGUAGCAGUGAAAUGCGUAGAGAUCAUGAGGAAGACCAGUGGCGAAGGCGGGUCUCUGGACAGUUCCUGACACUGAGACACGAAGGCCAGGGGAGCAAACGGG
rnacentral:rRNA from 1 species